rnacentral:rRNA from 1 species
UACGGAGGGUGCAAGCGUUAUCCGGAUUCACUGGGUUUAAAGGGUGCGUAGGUGGGCAGGUAAGUCAGUGGUGAAAUCUCCGGGCUUAACCCGGAAACUGCCAUUGAUACUAUCUGUCUUGAAUACCGUGGAGGUGAGCGGAAUAUGUCAUGUAGCGGUGAAAUGCUUAGAUAUGACAUAGAACACCAAUUGCGAAGGCAGCUCACUAGACGAAUACUGACACUGAGGCACGAAAGCGUGGGGAGCAAACAGG